rnacentral:rRNA from 1 species
UACGAAGGGGGCUAGCGUUGCUCGGAAUCACUGGGCGUAAAGCGCACGUAGGCGGCUUUCUAAGUCAGAGGUGAAAGCCUGGAGCUCAACUCCAGAACUGCCUUUGAUACUGAAGAUCUCGAGUUCGGGAGAGGUAAGUGGAACUGCGAGUGUAGAGGUGAAAUUCGUAGGAUAUUCGCAAGAACACCAGUGGCGAAGGCGGCUUACUGGUCCGGUUCUGACGGCUGAGGCGCGAAAGCGUGGGGAGCAAACAGG